rfam:Clostridium tetani E88, complete genome.
UUGAAGAGUAUAAGAGAGAUCCUAUUUUAAAGGACGCCGAAGGGACAAUCUAUGUUUAUCCCAAUAAAACAUAGAGAAAUUCUCAGGCAAAAGAAUUAUACUUUGAUA